rnacentral:rRNA from 1 species
UACGUGGGGGGCAAGCGUUGUCCGGAUUUAUUGGGCGUAAAGAGCGUGUAGGCGGCUUUGCAAGUCCGUUGUGAAAACUCGAGGCUCAACCUCGAGACGCCGGUGGAAACUGCAAAGCUAGAGUCCGGAAGAGGAGAGUGGAAUUCCUGGUGUAGCGGUGAAAUGCGCAGAUAUCAGGAAGAACACCCGUGGCGAAGGCGGCUCUCUGGGACGGUACUGACGCUGAGACGCGAAAGCGUGGGGAGCAAACAGG